GUGCUUACUUCUGCAGCACAUAUACUAAAAUUGGAAUGACACAGAGAUUAGCAUGGCCCCUAUGUAAGAAUGGCAUGCAAAUUCGCGAAGCAUUCCAUAUUUUU
ensembl:snRNA U6 U6 spliceosomal RNA